GAUGAACGCUGGCGGCGUGCCUAAUACAUGCAAGUCGAGCGAACAGACGAGGAGCUUGCUCCUCUGACGUUAGCGGCGGACGGGUGAGUAACACGUGGAUAACCUACCUAUAAGACUGGGAUAACUUCGGGAAACCGGAGCUAAUACCGGAUAAUAUAUUGAAUCGCAUGGUUCAAUAGUGAAAGACGGUUUUGCUGUCACUUAUAGAUGGAUCCGCGCCGCAUUAGCUAGUUGGUAAGGUAACGGCUUACCAAGGCAACGAUGCGUAGCCGACCUGAGAGGGUGAUCGGCCACACUGGAACUGAGACACGGUCCAGACUCUUACGGGAGGCAGCAGUAGGGAAUCUUCCGCAAUGGGCGAAAGCCUGACGGAGCAACGCCGCGUGAGUGAUGAAGGUCUUCGGAUCGUAAAACUCUGUUAUUAGGGAAGAACAAAUGUGUAAGUAACUAUGCACGUCUUGACGGUACCUAAUCAGAAAGCCACGGCUAACUACGUG
rnacentral:rRNA from 1 species